rnacentral:tRNA from 1 species
GCGGGCGUGGCGAAACGGUAGACGCAGCAGACUUAAAAUCUGCUUCCCCCUUGGGGAGUGCGGGUUCGAAACCCGCCGCCCGCA